UUCUUUAACCUUGACCUGUCGAAAGGAAAUUGUCAAAAGAGGUGUGAAGCAAUUUCCGUAAAAGAAAGUUUUCUUGCUUGGCCUUAGCAUCCGGAUCUUUCUUUUUACUUCGAGAUCGCCUAGAGGAAGGUUGUGCAUUAUCCACGCUAACGGGGUUAUCAACUUUUUGGUUAUACAGAUUAUAUUUGUACCUAUAACCUACAACCUAAUACAGCAACGAUAGUAUUAACAGCGAAUAAAAAAGUAUAUAAAUUGGCGAAAACUAAAUUGGAGGAUUCUAUUGUCGAAAGGAUUUUUCUGCAUGGUGCCACUUCCGGACAUCGGAAUUGGCACUUAAUAAUUAGUCCAAUCCAAUAGGGCAUUAACCUUUGCCUGUCGCUUUGAUGCGCGCAUGCUAAUGCAGCGACUAGGCUAAGGGAGGGGUACGCCAGACGAAGGCGUGCCAGAGGUAAGAUCGGCUUUCCGAUCAGGCCACUGGAACGGCGAGAAGAACCGUCUCUGCAGUUUCGUGGGUCAUAUCGUCUAUGACGGACGUCGCCUAAUAACGGAGUGCGAGUGAUUUUUUUGUGUUGUCUUCGGUGAAACCUGUGCCUGGGCAAUUGGCAAAGCCCCGUUGUGUUGGUUGGAGGCCCGUGGGAAAGAAAAAGGCAUAAAUUAGCCUACCCCAACCUUUAAAGGCAACAUUAUAUAUAUAUCCACAUAUAUAUUUAUAUAUGUGUCCAGCGCAAAAAUGAACUUCUCUAGUGCGCUUAUUAUUCUUUAAUUUUUUUUUCCCCUGUGUUAAAUCCAAAUUUAAAUGUACAUAUGUGUAACCACGCGAGCAAAGCAACUCGGCAUGGCGUGAUGAAGUGGGAAAGAAUAUACCUAAGUGAAAACAAAAAAAAAUAAUACACAAAGCAAAAUUCGUUAGCUACAAAUGUGUAUGUGCAUGGCGACAAUUUUUUUUCUGGUUUGUUUAAAAAAAAAACACGUUAAAGCCCACCCAGUAAAUAUCGAACAUAAACUUUAGUACAAAAAAAUUAUGCAUGCAAGCAGCGGUGAGCCCACACAGCGCGUCCCCCCCGAAAGAUCUUUCGACGUUGGACAAAAACUGUAAGUACAGCCGUUUUAAUUUUUAUUUUUCAUACUUACUUGCGUGCAUGCGUACGGAAGUGAUCAGCUGUUCAAUUGGAACACAGGCUUGCCUGCUAGGCAUAAAAACAAACUUAACGCCUUUAUGCCAAGUCUUGGCUUUUGUUUCAUAAUUCUCCUAUUAUCGGCACGCACAUAAACAUCCCAAAAGGGGAAAAUGCAUGAAUUUAUAUAAUUCAAAUAUUUGUUUAUAUUUUCUUACCCUAAUUUCUUUAAUAUUUGAAUAUAAAUAACCAUUUCUUCCAGCCACGCCAAUUGCUCUACUCACUUUGCUAUACCUACUUAUAUAUAUAUUUUUUUACUACUAGAUAUUUAAUUAGAAAUGUUCAUAGGCUUGAUUUCGUCGUAAAGGUUAAGGCGAAAGACUUGAAAACUAGUUUUAACUUGCCGUUGGAUAAAGUUAGGUUAUAUAUGGAACUUCGAAAAGACAAGGUGUUCAAUGAAUUUAGUUUUUAAUAAAAACAUUAUAAUGAUUGCUUAAAUUUUCCGGUCUUAUGAUUUCCGCUAGCCGCAGCAUGUAGAGGUUUGAAGGGGUCAUUCGCAUAAUUGUUUUAGGAUAUGAAUGACCAAGGAUGGGUGGGCCAAUACUUCCUCAACGUCAACAGAGGAAUACCAAAGGUGUGUCCACUUGUGUCCUGUGAUCUGCAAACCCAGCUUUCUUCUUUUUGUCCUAUUUGUGUCAACUUACCGAUUUUUAUGGCUUUUCCGAUAGCACGCUUUGUUUUUAAAUAAUAAGCUAAUUAAAAGGCCGUAAGAUAUGAGAGUCAUCGAACACCACCCAUUAGCCGACGAGCCCGAGCCGGAACAUACUAGCGUGCGCUCUCAAUCUUACACCCACCACCUCGCCUACACUAAUGGGCUAUUGUCUAUACCCGUUACAGUUUGAUUGCAAAUUGUCUCGUUUUAUAAGUUUGCUGUUUAUGUUCGAUUUGGCGAAUCGUGUGUGCUUUGCUCGAGCUCUAGGCACAGGCUCAGCCUCAUUUUCUGUGCACUUCUCAGUCCGCAUUUAGUUGUUAUUGUUGUUGUUCUUGUUUUUGUCACUAUUCUGCCUCUAGCACCGCCACCGCCAUCUCCAUCACCAUCUCUUAUAGGAAACCUUGAACCCAUUUUAAUGGUCUAUGCUUCGUUGUGCAAGCACGCCGUCCCACAAAGAAGCAUUUCAGCAAUUUAAUUUAAUUUGC